GGUCUAUAUUCCUUUCCAUGUCAAAAAAUUGAAGUGAUAAACCCUAAUUUCCCAUGUGAUUCAGCUUCCAAUGGCCAUUUCAACCGGCCUCGGCAUAUCUCGACUUCCAUCGCUAUCUCUCCGUUAUCCUCUCCGCCACUGUGCUCUUCAGGUUAGGCUUGGCUUUGCUGCUUCGGUUGAAGCAUUUGACGAUACGGAGAACGACAAAGGCACUGAAAAUGCAGCAUUUGAUAAUUUGAGUGGCGGUGAUGGACGUCGAAAGAAUUGGAAAAAGUUGAAGUCUGAAGACCUUGGAGUUAGUACUUCAAAAAUUUCGAGGCCCACAAGAGUGGUUCUUAAUGGUCUUCGAAAAAGAGGCUUUGAAGUAUAUCUUGUUGGAGGAUGUGUAAGGGAUCUAAUAUUGAAACGGGUUCCUAAAGAUUUUGAUGUAAUAACCUCAGCUGAACUUAAAGACGUGAUGAGGACUUUUUCUCGAUGUGAGAUGAUUGGGAGGCGGUUUCCUAUCUGUCAUGUGCACAUUGAUGAUACUAUUGUGGAGGUUUCAAGCUUUAGCACCCGUGCGACAAGGUUUGGGAGGUUCUUGAGUUUGGAACCUGAGAAGCCUGUUGGCUGUGAUGAGCAGGACUAUAUUCGCUGGAGAAACUGCCUUCAGAGGGAUUUCACGAUAAAUGGAUUGAUGUUUGACCCAUAUGCAAAGUUGAUAUAUGACUACACUGGUGGAGUAAAUGACAUCCGGAAAGCUAAAAUCCGGACCAUCAAACCUGCGAAUCUUUCCUUGACCGAGGAUUGUGCACGUAUUCUUCGUGGUGUCAGAAUUGCUGCUCGGUUGGAUUUUAGAUUUUCAAGGGAGACUGCUCUAGCAGUGAGAAAGUUAUCUGCUACAGUUUUAAGGCUCGAUCGGGGAAGGCUUCUCAUGGAAGUCAACUACAUGCUGGCAUAUGGUUCCGCGGAAGCCUCAUUAAGAUCUUUGUGGAAGCUUGGUCUUUUGGAAAUACUUCUGCCUAUUCAGGCGGCCUAUUUUGUCAGAACUGGUUUUCGCAGACGUGACAAGCGCUGUAACAUGCUUUUGUCUUUAUUCUCCAACCUCGAUAAACUUCUUGCCCCUGACAGACCAUGUCACAGUAGCUUAUGGUUUGCUAUUCUAGCAUUUCAUGAAGCACUCUCCGCACAACCAAGGGACCCUCUUGUGGUUGCUGCAUUCAGCCUUGCAGUCCACAAUGGUGGAGACCUAUCAGAAGCUUUAAGCAUUGCUAGACGUAUCAGUAAAAAACAUGAAAUAAGUUUUGAUGAACUAUUGGAACCAAAAUACAUGAAAUCUAGAGAGUUGUUGGAUGAGGUUAAAGAUUUAGCGGCUUCUGUCCAAAGUUCCCUUCGCCAUAUGACAGACGAUUACUUUGUCUCCCAGGCAAUGGCCAAAUAUCCAAAAGCUCCGUAUUCAGAUGUCGUGUUUUUCCCUGUGGCACUUUACUUGAAGGUUUGCAAGAUGUUUGAAUGUGUUGGAGGUGGGGCGGAGCAGGGAUUUGUACCCAAAAAUGGUAGUAAGAUCGACUAUGAGUUGUUAGCUAUGGGAAGUCUAAAGGAAGUUAGACACACAUUUGCAAGAGUAGUAUUUGAUACCAUAUACCCAAUUGAUAAGUACAUAGAUGACUAACCUAGACCCAAAAAUGAGUGAAGAGUAAGCAACAGUAGCACAUCAAAUAGCCCGACACAACAAGGAAGUUGUUGAAUAUCUGCAUUUGAGGAUUGUGACGCAACAAAAGGCUAUCCUGAUCCUGGUUCGGGUGUUCAUUAAUUGGGUUCCGAGUUCCUUUUAUAGAAGCAGCAAUAAUCAAGGUUGCCUGCUUGUAAGUGCCAAAAUUAUUCAGAAUCUAUCUAUCCAUCCAUCUACUACUACUACUACUCGG